GUGUCAGCCGCCGCGGUAAUACGUAGGGGGCUAGCGUUAUCCGGAAUUACUGGGCGUAAAGGGUGCGUAGGCGGUCUUUCAAGCCAGAAGUGAAAGGCUACGGCUCAACCGUAGUAAGCUUUUGGAACUGUAAGACUUGAGUGCAGGAGGGGAGAGUGGAAUUCCUAGUGUAGCGGUGAAAUGCGUAGAUAUUAGGAGGAACACCAGUAGCGAAGGCGGCUCUCUGGACUGUAACUGACGCUGAGGCACGAAAGCGUGGGGAGCAAACAGGAUUAGAUACCCUGGUAGUCCACGCCGUAAACGAUGAGUACUAGGUGUCGGGGGUUACCCCCCUCGGUGCCGCAGCUAACGCAUUAAGUACUCCGCCUGGGAAGUACGCUCGCAAGAGUGAA
rnacentral:rRNA from 1 species